GGGUUUAAAAAAAGGACUGUUUUCCUGGUAUGACACCCUCAUCUUGUGGAAUGCUGGGAUAUUGCUGCUAAAUUUUUCUUUUCACGGCUUCAUUGGGAUGUUACUUACAGACCAUAUAGCUUACCCACUUGGAGGAGACAAUUCAUCGAGGUUUCGUGUUUCGUGUAUUUAUUAUAUUGCAACUAUCAACACAAUCUAAUUUUAGAACACCUUCAUCCCAAAACCAAACCUUAAGUCCAUCAGGAGUGACUCUCCACUGCUCCUUGUCCCCUGGCAACUGUACCUCCUUACAAAUGAUACAAGUACGUAAGAAGAGCUUAAGAAACACGGCUGUCACCAUCAAGAUGAUUUUUUUAAUACACAGGAGUAGAGUAAGAAAAGAAUUAAGAAAAUCAUUUGAUCCUUGCAAUUCACUUUUACUUUGGUCUCAGUUUUCAGCCUAACCAUGAAACAUUCACGUCUAACAAAUGAGAAUGUCGGAGACACUCAGAUUGUCCACGUAGGCUCUUUUAUACAAACUCGUGUUAUCAGCUAGGGUUAAAUUCAGCUGUGAGUAACAGAGGCCCAAAAUAAUGAUUUAAACAAAAUAAAAAUGUGGAGUUCCCAUCGUGGCUCAGCGGUUAACGAACUUGAGUAGCAUCCAUGAGGACACGGAUUUGAUCUGUGGCCUCGCUCAGUGGGUUGAAUAUCUGGCAUUGCCGAGAGCUAUGGUGUAGGUCACAGACACAGAUCGGAUCCUGCAUUGGUGUGGCUGUGGUGUAGGCCAGAGGCUACAGCUCUGAUUGGACCCCUAGCCUGGGAACCUCCACAUGCCCCGGGUGCACCCUAAAGGGAUAAAAAGACAACAAUACAUACAUACAUAACAAUGCAAGUCCCUUGCAUGUGACAGUCCAGAGGCCGGUGGCAGCGUGCCCAGCGUGCUGUCUCUGGUCCACAAAGUCUUCCCAGAUGCCCACAUCUUCUAAGUCACCAUCCCUACAUCCUCUGGGUAUGGCUCUUGUUCCCGUGACUCACCAUGGUGGCUAGAGCAACAGGCAUCAUGACAGUGCUCCAGGCACAGGGUAAAAGGAGGGAUACCCGUGAAAGCUGCGGGAAGGAGCACUCAGCAGUUUUCUCCAAAGGAUCCUGCCAGCUCCCAGACAACCAACCCUUUUGCUCACAUUCUAUCAGCCAGACUUCGUCACCCGGACUCCUCCGGGUGCAUGAGAAGCUGGGAAAUGCAGUCCUUAUUCCAGACAGCUUGUGCACAAGCACAAGUUGUGAGUUCUGAUAAGGCGAGAGUGAAGAGUAGCAUAACCAGCAGUCUCUGCCACACAUGCAAUAUGCUCGAAACUCGAAAUACAAUAAAUGGGUAUUUUCACAGGAGGGUGACACUGAUGUCACUAAGUGCGAAUUAUGAGGAGUUGGGUGAACUCUAGUUGCAAAGAUAAGAGAAUACUGGAAGAACUGAUGCUCAGAGGGGAAUCGCAAAAGAGAUGAAGGGCUGCUGAUAGACUCGAGGAGACCACUGUUGAGCAGCAGCUCUUUUCAUCGCCUUUGUGGACAAGGAUGUGAAAGAAAGUUCACUGAUGCUUUAAAAAGGAAUGCAAUGGGAAAGUGCGCAUAUCCUUUGGUCCAAUAAACCCAUUUCCUACAUUUUCUUCAACAGUGAAAUAAACUAUAUGCCCAUGGGCAUUCCCAUCGUGGCUCAGUGGAAAUGAAUAUGACUAGUAUCCAAGAGGACGCAGGUUCAAUCCCUGGCCUCACUCAGUGAGUUAAGGAUCCGGUGUUGCUCUGAGCUGUGGGGCAGGUUGCGGACACAGCUCAGAUCUGAUGUUGCUGUGAUUGUGGUGCAGGCCAGUGGCCACAGAUCCGAUUCGACCCUUAGCCUGGGUACUUCCAUAUGCCACUAGCACGGCCCUAAAAGGACAAAAAAAGAAAAAGGAAAACAAAUACUUAACUGUACAAGAGAACUGAAUUACUGAACAAAAUGCUGUAGUAUAUUACACAGCUAUUAAAAAUGAAAACCACAAACAAAAACUUCAUCCUAUGAGGUGAACAGAAAGUUUUAUUGAUCUGAUAUACAUUAAAUGUACAUAAUGAGGACAUGAAUUUUACUUUUUAACCUUGACCCUUGGUUAGGGGCUCCAAUCUCCAGCCCAGUAUAAAGCUAGAUGGGCUUUACAUAAAGUCAGAGUUUUUAAAAAUAUAACUAAUUCUCUGCUCUAUGGUCAUAGAGAAUUAAAAUCCAAUCAACAGAUAACAUCAACUUAGCUAAAAUGCCAUAUGAUAUAUGACUUUAACCACAGCUGUAAUUUACAAAGCUCACCAUUCUGAAUUCACCUUCUUUCCCUUCCCUCUAUCCCUUGAUGGCACUACAAAUGAAUAGGUCACUGACAAUGUGGAGACUAUGAAGCCAAGAAGUAACUCUAACAGUUAAAGAAACAACAGGGGGAAGAAGUAAGCAAGCUGAAUUAUCAAAAUUAAAUAAUCAGCUCCAAAAUAACAAUAGCUAAGACUGCAAUCUUUUAGGAAAGGUAUGCCUCCUCUGAGAUACUCAUAUGCUGUCUCCUUUUCAAAAGUGUGAGUUAUGUGCCUUGUCGUGUUUCCCCUUUUGCCAUGGCUACCGGGAGGCUCCAUGUAAAAAUCAAUCAAAAGGCCUACUUUACCACUUAACGGCUCGUAUUUUAUCAGUCUCGUCUUUUCCUUGGUUCUGAUUUUCAAUUUCUAGAUUCACUUUACUACCUUCAUUAUUAUACAACUGUUGAAAAUCACUUCAAAUUCUUUAUAGGGAAGAGCAGCAUAAGUCAAAUAAACAAACUCCCUGGAAUCUUUCCUAUUCCACCAAAAAUAGCAUGUAGUCGAACUCCUCCUACAUGAGCUCAUCACAAUCAUCCACGGCUCAAAGCUCUUAUGACAGACACUGCUGGACUCCAGCAUGCCAGCUGACACCUUCCUGAUCUCCCCAAGGAGACAUCUGGCCUUAAAACACAAAUACUGUGCUUCACCUUGAUGUAGCGCCUGUGGUUAGAAAGAGAUUGCUACCAUCUUCCAGUCAUGUUUUCUCAUCAGAAAAAAAAGUACUUUCUAUUCUAACUCUUCAUCACAGGUAUUUCAGACUGUCGAAGGAUGCCCUUUAUAACAUGAACUAGCUGCCUUUGCAGAGACUAUAGAUUUUUAUUCCACAUCAAUUGGUUCACAACAGAGAGUACAAAGGGAAAAAUACCAAUAGAUUCGAUCGCUCUCUCUGGCUUUAUUGAAAGAAAAACAUUCCCCCCCCCCAAAUGGUGGUUUUUCUUUCUUAUCCAUGCCAUUGUUUCAUGUUUGGAAAGGCAUAUAGAAGUUCCCAUCGCAGAGCAGCGGAAACAAAUCUGACUAGGAACCAUGAGGCUGUGGGUUCGAUCCCUGGCCUUGCUCAGUGGGGUAAGGAUCCGACGUUGCCAUGAGCUGUGGUGUAAGUCGAAGAUGCAGCUUGGAUCUGGCAUGGCUGUAGCUGUGGUGUAGGCUGGCAGCUGUAGCUCUGAUUUGACCCUGAGCCUGGGAACCUCCAUGUGCUGCAGGUGCGGCCCUAAAAAGCAAAAAACAAAAAGAAAGAAAAGAAACUCAUAUAAAAUAGAAACAAUGCCAAACCAAGCAAACCACAAGGGGGAUCUCAUGAAAAUGAAUUCUUUUAGCAUAUACGGAGGGUUUCCGAUCCAUCAUCUGGUGGCACAUUCAUUAUUGAUCCUUUCAGUAAAUGCUUAAAAAGCACCUGCUAUGGACUGUGUCUGCCCCUGUCAUACCCGGUAUCAUCUCGGGCAACACAAAGGCUUGCAUUUAGAGGCGAUUUUUGCUUGCACAUUGCAGGAUGAUUUGCGCCUGUUCUUCAAAUGUUUAUGCCUUCUUGUACCUCAGGCCUCUUCAGUGUCCCUGGCCACCCUGGUCUCUUCUGCCCCCGGACCUCCUCUGUGAAUUCCGGAUGGGCACCCAGGAACCCUCGGGCGCUGCUUGCGUGGUUACAGAGUAGAGCGUGUUUUGCACCAGUUGCUAAAUGUUUUUAACGCAGCCCUGGUGCGGCUUGUGCUCACUCUUUGACCCGCAGAGGUGCUCCUGCCGCCUCGUUCACCCACCUCACUCACUUCUCCGGGCAUCUGCUGUCAACUCUUCCCUCUCCCCCCGCGGCACACGGGCAGGACGACAAAGGCUUCCCUCGUGCUCCCCAGGGGAGCCGGGCCUCCGCGGCUCCAGGUGCCUGUGAGGGAGCAAGACGAGCUGGGCGUUCAGCCUCUCCCCCCAGGGGUGUUCAAAGUAUCCGCCUUGUCAGUGGCAUCAAGCAGGUUUUCUUUUAUUAUUUUGACAAAUUUGGGAUCGUCGCAGGGACUCUGCCUAAGACAAAAAUGUGCCAUGAAAAAAAAAAAAAAAAA
ensembl:lncRNA